rnacentral:lncRNA from 1 species
UUUUUUUUUUUUGACACAGUCUCCCUCUUGUCGCCCUCGCCAAGGUUGGAGCGCAAUGGCACCAUCUCGGCUCACUGCAACCUCUGCCUUCCAGGUUGGAGUAAUUCUCCUGCCUCAGUCUCCUGAGUAGCUGGAUUACAGGUGCCCUCCACCAUGCCCAGCUAAUUUUUGUAUUUUUAGUAGUAGGACCCUCCAGAGGGUUUCACCAUGUUGGCCAGGCUGGUCUCGAACUCCUGACCUCAGUGAAACCCCAUCUCUACUAAAAAUACAAAAAAUUAGCCAGAAGUGGUGGCACACACAUGUAGUCCCAGCUACUCGGGAGGCUAAGGCAGGAGAAUUGCUUAAAUCCGGGAGGCAGAGGUUGCAGUGAGCCAAGAUCACGCCACUGCACUCUAGCCUGGGUGACAGAGUGAGACUUAGUCUCAAAAAAAAAAAAAAAAACAAAAUUGUAAAAACGUUAUGUAGAUAAUUGUACCAUUGGGACAAUAACAUGGAGAAAAUUAAUGUAUUUGACAGUAAUUUCAUUAAGUAGAGAGGAGCAAAGCUAUACUAGAAGGUAAUUUGAAUCCAUAGAACAAAUGAGAACCAGAAAUAGUAAAUAAACUGGUUAACGUAAGAAAUUAUAAAUAACUAAUUGUUCUUAUUCCUUUUCUCAACUUUAUAAAAGACACAAUUAUAUAAAGGAAUAAUUAUAAUUAUUGAAUUUUUAACAUAGAUACAUGUAAUAUGUAUAACAAUAAUGGCACAAAAAAGGGAAAGAGGGACUAAAAUGAUACAGAAGUAACAUUUUUUUACAUCUCUCUGGAAUUAAGUUCAUAUAAAUCUGAAGUCAAUUGUGUAAAUUAAGAUCUCUAUCUUAAAUACUAGAGCAGCCACUGAUAUCUUAAAAAUAUAUAGUG